AAAAAGAAGAAUGGGAAUGAAAAUAAUUCAUUCCUCUGCUGCCCAAUACUACCGAGAGAAGACCAAGAAAAUGAGGAAUAAAAUAUUGUGGAAUAUUUCUCAUCCAUUAAGGACAAAAGGGAAACAAACAAAGAUUAGGUGAGUGUCCCAUUUUCUUUGUCUGCCAUCUUGCUUCUUCACAUGGAGAGACCCAACACUUUCUGGAACGAUGGCAUGGUGAAAAGAGACGGGAUGAAGUACUCGUCUGAUCUUAUAAUCAGCCACGGAAUUUUCUGCUGAAACAUCUGGUGUUCAUCCUGGAAAAACAGUUCAUCGUAACGAUCUUUAUCAUGGUCCAAAUUGUUGUACACAAAAGUCGGUAAUUGCCACACAUUGGACAUAUCAAUCAGUUCAUUAUUCCUCACGAUAUUCCCGUAACAGCUUUCGGAGUUCUGAUCAAAUUCCAUGAACUCAUCGCCGGUAACCGGAAAAUCCUCCGGGAGAAACAAGGAAGUUCCGGGGAACGGUUCGCAGAAGAGCUCCGGCGUGUGAUCCAUCGGAGAAGCAAGAACCGUUCGGUUUGUAACAACGGCGUACAGGAAAACGGUAGUUAAAGACAUGAUUCUGUUUCCUAACCCAUUCAUAGGUAUCCAAAUCACAUACUUACAGCCUGUGUCGGGGAACGGCCGUUCACCGGACUCAAUGAGUUCCACUGUUUUGUUAUAUGAUUCUGUAUAUGGCCCACAGCGCUUGUGAAGAGCUUCAUAGCUUCGUAGCUUGGAGAUGAGAUAAGAAGAAGGCUUGCGCUUUAGUUCCUUAAGAUACAGCACUGAUUCAUACCUACUCAGACACGAUCUUUCAUCAAAUCCAGGAAGGAGAAGACCACCUAGGAGCUUAUCCAGUUCCAAUUCCGCCACCUCAUCACGCCGGAGAAGAGUUUCAUCUUCUGCAACUGGGACAGCCAGCAAAAGGAAAAGGGGCAAUCGAAAAGAUGGCGUUGUUUGAUUAGCAGGACGACCAAAAGCAAACCCGUCAGGCCUAUCAACAAAGCAACGGGAAUCGCCCCAGGUUGCUUCAUUUCUGAAUCAAAUUAAAUUCUAAUCAAUUCUGAUCAGAGUAUGCCGCCAUAUAUAUAUAUGAAUUCUUGGGAGCGGAAGGUCCUCAGGAUUGGGUUACAAUUCAUGGUAAGAUUUACAUCUACACCCAAAUUGUACUCCCAUUUUGGCAUGUAUUAAUUGCUUAAUUUAGGAGCCAUAAUGUUUAUCAAUUUUUUAUUUUCUUCUUCGAUCAAAUUUGAACAGGAGUAGAAAUUUGAGAGUUCAUGAAGUAUUUUGCAUUAAUCAAUUUAAAUAAAAUUCCAAAAUACAUUAAUGUUA